rnacentral:misc_RNA from 1 species
GAUGAAGAACGUAGCGAAAUGCGAUAAGUAAUGUGAAUUGCAGAAUUCAGUGAAUCAUCGAAUCUUUGAACGCACAUUGCGCCCGCUAGUAUUCUGGCGGGCAUGCCUGUUCGAGCGUCAUUUCAACCAUCAAGCCCUGCUUGUGUUGGGGUCCUGCGGCUGCCCGCAGGCCCUGAAAACCAGUGGCGGGCUCGCUAGUCACACCGAGCGCAGUAGCACAUCUCGCUCAGGGCGUGCGGCGGGUUCUUGCCGUAAAACACCCCCUUUUUACCAAGGUUGACCUCGGAUCAGGUAGGAAUACCCGCUGAACUUAAGCAUAUCAAGCGGAUGA